rnacentral:ncRNA from 1 species
GGUUGGACGGCUUAUGCCGUUUUCAAGAAUGAGCUUCUUGGGUGGGAAGUC